rnacentral:lncRNA from 1 species
UCUAGUGCUCAAUAUUUGAAAAUAAACGUUAGCCAGUCUUUCCUUGUAUGUCAUUGUGCGAAGUUGUUCGUUUGGCGUAGUUCGUAAUAAUCCACAGAUUAUUGGUUUCAAAUGGUCUUUUAAACCAAUAUGCAUUAACUGUGAAUGACUAUGUACCUGUUGAGUGGAAUGAAAUUAUCCUGCAACUGGAUAAUGCAAGAGCACUUAGUAACUGUACAAUUUCGAAUUACCUACGAUCGGUCCUCGAAAAACGAACGAGAGGACAAUAGAUACGGAUAGGACAGGAGACAAAAGCCUGCAUCUAAGGGAUCAAUUGGUUGGAAAAUUCGAGCAAUGGAGCCGGCUGCAGGUUUCAUCAGACUAGCGACUACAUGGCCCGCACUUCCGGAAAUUUCAUUUUACUCGAUCUAACAGGCUGAGCAUUUUGUUCGAGAAAAAAUAUAUACCUUAUGUAGGGUAAUCUGUUGCAGAUCGAAUCUCGAAGAUUUCGUUUUAAUAUUUAGUACGUGUUAUGAAAUUUACUCCUAUUCUAUCAACCUUGCUGACUUGUUUCUGGAAACGAAUUUUGACUGAAGUUUGAAGAAAUGAAACUUUUCUUCGUGUUACUUGUUAUCUUAAAUCAGAUUAAUAUCAUUAUAUCUUAUAAAAAUUGUACAACAUCCAAUAAGCAUUAUCACUUAUAUUGUUGUCGUUCAAACAAAUCAGAUUGUUUAUCGUACUUAAUAAUUAAAGAAGCGAUUCUCUUCAGAAUUCUUCUAAAGAACUUUAUAUGUACAAUAGGAUAGAAAGUUAAAUAUAACAAUAAAAUA